CAUUAGGCAGCUGAAAGCCAGCAGCGGAAUUUUAAACCGCAAAAUAGUAAAUUGCGCCUACUCCUAAUGA
rnacentral:tRNA from 1 species